GAGUUUGAUCCUGGCUCAGAUUGAACGCUGGCGGCAUGCUUUACACAUGCAAGUCGAACGGCAGCACGAGUGCUUGCACUUGGUGGCGAGUGGCGAACGGGUGAGUAAUGCAUUGGAACGUGCCUUGUAUUGGGGGAUAACUGAGCGAAAGCUUAGCUAAUACCGCAUACGCCCUGAGGGGGAAAGCUGGGGAUCGUUUGACCUGGCGAUAUAAGAGCGGCCAAUGUCUGAUUAGCUAGUUGGUGAGGUAAAGGCUUACCAAGGCGACGAUCAGUAGCGGGUCUGAGAGGAUGAUCCGCCACACUGGGACUGAGAGACGGCCCAGACUCCUACGGGAGGCAGCAGUGGGGAAUUUUGGACAAUGGGGGGAACCCUGAUCCAGCCAUGCCGCGUGUCUGAAGAAGGCCUUCGGGUUGUAAAGGACUUUUGUUGGGGAGCAAAGGUAUCUGGUUAAGAGCUGGAGAUUAUAGANACCCAA
rnacentral:rRNA from 1 species